CCCAACAAGUUUAAUUUAUAUUUUUAAAUUUUAUACGUUUAGGUUGCGGGGAUCUAGAAAAUCUUACCUUUGGAAGCGAAUCUCGGAAUUACAUAAAUUGAUAAUAGAUAUUCAGACUGCUCAUGCUAAGUUGGGCAGUCAAGACGGAAACAGCCGAGAACACUGAUCAAGGUCCCAAAUGAUUGUUAAGUGAAAUUAAGGACGUAGCAAUAUCGUAUACAGCUGUGAAGUGAGCCUGGCAGUCGCUACUUAUAAUGAUCGUACGUAACAACGCAUCAGCAGUAUUAAAUUUUAUUAUUUAAUAAUAAAUUUUAAAUGAUAGUAGCGCCGAAAAUUUAACGGGUCUUAAACAAUCAACCGAUAUCGUGUUGGUUUUAUAAUUAAUUUUUUUUUAUAAAAUCUAGGUAGUAGAACAUUCAGUUUAACUGUUAAUUAAAUAGUGUUUCAUUGUUUAUUAGGUUACUGAAGAGAGAAUGCUGACAUGAGUAACGUAAAAAAUUCCUUAUAAUGGAAUUCGCCGAAUACG
rnacentral:rRNA from 1 species